UUCCGGUUGAUCCUGCCGGACCCUACUGCUAUCGGGGUGGGACUAGCUAAUGCGAGUCUAGCGUCUCCUUCUAUGGUGAGACCCGGCUUACGGCUCAGUAACACGUGGCUAACCUACCCUCAGGACAGGGACAAUCCCGGGAAACUGGGGCUAAUACCCGAUAGGCGAGGGCGCCUGGAAUGGUUCUUCACCCAAAGGGAUUUGGAACCAUGCUUUUCUCAGUCGCCUGGGGAUGGGGCCGCGUCCAAUCACGUUGUUGGUGAGGUAACGGCUCGCCAAGCCUAUAACCGGUACUGGCCGUGAAAGCGGUACCCCGUAUAUGGGUCCUGAGACCAGGGCCCAUGCCCUACGGGGGGCACUACUCACGAAAACUCCGCAAUGCACGAAAGUGUGACGGGGCUACCCCGAGUGCCGUCCGCUGAGGAUGGCUUUUCCUCGGUGAAACUAGCCGGGGGAAUAAGGAGAGGGCAAGACUGGUGUCACCCGCCGCGGUAAUACCUUCUCUCCGAGUGGUAGGGAUGAUUAUUGGGCUUAAAGCGUCCGUACCCGGCUUAGCUAGUCUCCUGUUAGAUUCAGCGACCUAAUCGUUGAGCCGCGGGACAUACUACUAUGCUAGGAGGCGGGACACGCCGAUCGUACUUCCGGGGUACGUGUGAGAUCUUAUAAUCGUGGGCGGACCACCCCGUGGUCAACGUCGUCGGCUACAACGCGCUCGACCGUGACGGACGAAUGCUGGGGUAGCGAAGCGUAUGAGAUACCCGGGCUAUUCCCAUCCGUACACGAUGCGGGCUAUGGUGUUGAGGUGGCUACGUGUCGACCUCAGUGACGCAGGAAGUCGACUACGCGCUACUGCCUGGGGACUACGGGCCGCCAACGCUGAGACUUAGAAGCGACUUAGUGGGUGAGCUACAUCAUGCUGCGAUGCUAGCCGGUUCACUGCAGUCUACAGCCGGU
rnacentral:rRNA from 1 species